rnacentral:rRNA from 1 species
UUAGUUUGAUCCCUGGCUCAGAUUGAACGCUGGCGGCAGGCUUAAUACAUGCAGUCGAGCGGAGAGAGGUAGCUUGCUACUGAUCUUAGCGGCGGACGGGUGAGUAAUGCUUAGGAAUCUGCCUAUUAGUGGGGGACAACAUUUCGAAAGGAAUGCUAAUACCGCAUACGUCCUACGGGAGAAAGCAGGGGAUCUUCGGACCUUGCGCUAAUAGAUGAGCCUAAGUCGGAUUAGCUAGUUGGUGGGGUAAAGGCCUACCAAGGCGACGAUCUGUAGCGGGUCUGAGAGGAUGAUCCGCCACACUGGGACUGAGACACGGCCCAGACUCCUACGGGAGGCAGCAGUGGGGAAUAUUGGACAAUGGGCGCAAGCCUGAUCCAGCCAUGCCGCGUGUGUGAAGAAGGCCUUAUGGUUGUAAAGCACUUUAAGCGAGGAGGAGGCUACUUUAGUUAAUACCUAGAGAUAGUGGACGUUACUCGCAGAAUAAGCACCGGCUAACUCUGUGCCAGCAGCCGCGGUAAUACAGAGGGUGCAAGCGUUAAUCGGAUUUACUGGGCGUAAAGCGCGCGUAGGCGGCUAAUUAAGUCAAAUGUGAAAUCCCCGAGCUUAACUUGGGAAUUGCAUUCGAUACUGGUUAGCUAGAGUGUGGGAGAGGAUGGUAGAAUUCCAGGUGUAGCGGUGAAAUGCGUAGAGAUCUGGAGGAAUACCGAUGGCGAAGGCAGCCAUCUGGCCUACACGACGCUAGUCAAAGCAUGGGGAGCAAACAGGAUUAGAUACCCUGGGUAGUCCA